UGUUCAUGUAGAUGUUCAUGACAGCUCAGAUUAAACUCAGAGGAUUAUUAUAUCAGAAACAGAGAAAACUGAAGAAAAAGUGACUUUCUAAGCAAAGGUAUCAACAACUGAACGU